rnacentral:rRNA from 1 species
AACGAACGCUGGCGGCAUGCCUAACACAUGCAAGUCGAACGAGACCUUCGGGUCUAGUGGCGCACGGGUGCGUAACGCGUGGGAACCUGCCCUUAGGUUCGGAAUAACUCCCCGAAAGGGGUGCUAAUACCGUGUAAUGUCUUCGGACCAAAGAUUUAUCGCCUCUGUCUGGGCCCGCGUUGGAUUAGCUAGUUGGUAGGGUAAAAGCCUGCCAAGGCGACGAUCCAUAGCUGGUCUGAGAGGAUGAUCAGCCACACUGGGACUGAGACACGGCCCAGACUCCUACGGGAGGCAGCAGUGGGGAAUAUUGGACAAUGGGCGAAAGCCUGAUCCAGCAAUGCCGCGUGAGUGAUGAAGGCCUUAGGGUUGUAAAGCUCUUUUACCCGGGAUGAUAUUGACAGUACCGGGAGAAGAAGCUCCGGCUAACUACGUG